GAUGAACGCUAGCUACAGGCUUAACACAUGCAAGUCGAGGGGAAACGACAUCGGAAGCUUGCUUUUGAUGGGCGUCGACCGGCGCACGGGUGAGUAACGCGUAUCCAACCUGCCCACCACUUGGGAAUAACCUUGCGAAAGUAAGACUAAUACCCAAUGACGUCUCUAGAAGACAUCUGAAAGAGAUUAAAGAUUUAUCGGUGAUGGAUGGGGAUGCGUCUGAUUAGCUUGUUGGCGGGGUAACGGCCCACCAAGGCGACGAUCAGUAGGGGUUCUGAGAGGAAGGUCCCCCACAUUGGAACUGAGACACGGUCCAAACUCCUACGGGAGGCAGCAGUGAGGAAUAUUGGUCAAUGGACGAGAGUCUGAACCAGCCAAGUAGCGUGCAGGAUGACGGCCCUAUGGGUUGUAAACUGCUUUUAUAAGGGAAUAAAGUGAGUCUCGUGAGACUUUUUGCAUGUACCUUAUGAAUAAGGACCGGGCUAAUUUCCGUG
rnacentral:rRNA from 1 species